CCUACGGGAGGCAGCAGUGGGGAAUUUUGGACAAUGGGCGCAAGCCUGAUCCAGCAAUGCCGCGUGAGUGAAGAAGGCCUUCGGGUUGUAAAGCUCUUUUGUCAGGGAAGAAACGGUGGAGGCUAAUAUCCUUUGCUAAUGACGGUACCUGAAGAAUAAGCACCGGCUAACUACGUGCCAGCAGCCGCGGUAAUACGUAGGGUGCAAGCGUUAAUCGGAAUUACUGGGCGUAAAGCGUGCGCAGGCGGUUUUGUAAGUUUGUCGUGAAAUCCCCGGGCUCAACCUGGGAAUGGCGAUGAAGACUGCAAGGCUAGAAUCUGGCAGAGGGGGGUAGAAUUCCACGUGUAGCAGUGAAAUGCGUAGAGAUGUGGAGGAACACCGAUGGCGAAGGCAGCCCCCUGGGUCAAGAUUGACGCUCAUGCACGAAAGCGUGGGGAGCAAAACAGGAUUAGAUACCCUGGUAGUCACGCCCUAAACGAUGUCUACUAGUUGUCGGGUUUUAAUAACUUGGUAACGCAGCUAACGCGUGAAGUAGACCGCCUGGGAGUACGGUCGCAAGAAUUAAAACUAGAAAUUGAAGUUGNGNGNGNGCGAGACGACGACGACGAGAGGAGAG
rnacentral:rRNA from 1 species